rnacentral:rRNA from 1 species
UACGAAGGGGCGAGCGUUGUUCGGAAUUACUGGGCGUAAAGGGCGCGUAGGCGGCGACCCAAGUCAGAUGUGAAAGUCCUGGGCUUAACCUGGGGACUGCAUUUGAUACUGGGUUGCUUGAAUUCGGGAGAGGAUAGGCGGAAUUCCCAGUGUAGAGGUGAAAUUCGUAGAUAUUGGGAAGAACACCGGUGGCGAAGGCGGCUAUCUGGACCGACAUUGACGCUGAGGCGCGAAAGCGUGGGGAGCAACAGGG